UACAGAGGUCUCAAGCGUUGUUCGGAUUCAUUGGGCGUAAAGGGUGCGUAGGCGGCGCGGUAAGUCGGGUGUGAAAUCUCGGAGCUUAACUCCGAAACUGCAUUCGAUACUGCCGUGCUUGAGGACUGGAGAGGAGACUGGAAUUUACGGUGUAGCGGUGGAAUGCGCAGAUAUCAGGAGGAACACCGGUGGCGAAGGCGGGUCUCUGGGCAGUAACUGACGCUGAGGAGCGAAAGCGUGGGGAGCAAACAGG
rnacentral:rRNA from 1 species